UGUGUACUCCCUCCAUUCCAAAAUACUUGACUUCCAUUUGUCCAAAAAUGGAUGUACCUAUAUACUAAAAUAUGCCUAGAUACAUCUAUAUUUUGACAAAUAGAAGGCAUGUAUUGUGGAACGGAGGGAGUAGAAU
rnacentral:pre_miRNA from 1 species